CGUCCGGAGCGGGGAGGGGGCAGCGCGGGCCCUGCGUGCCUCCCCGUCUGCCGGAGCAAAGCUGCUGAAGCUGCAGAAACGCGCUGGCGCCCGUCCACCCGCUGCAAACAAAACCAAACAAAACGCGGCGAAAGGAAAAGCGAAAUGGCGCUGCUGAAAAUGGAGCCUCGGCCUCGAGGACGUCUUUCUCUUCUCCUCCGUCUCUUACUUCGGCAACUCUGUUUCUCGUCCUUUAACGCCCCACCGCCCCUCGGCUUUUCUCCCCGUAACCGCUACCCCGUCACCCCCUUGCUUUUCUUCUUAACCAUCUCCUUCCCCCGCUUUUCCUUCUUUUCUUUCCCCUCUCGGUUCCUCCUUCUCCAUUUUGUGUCACAGGCGCUUCUCUUCCCAGUUCCCUUUCUGGGCUCGCGCUCCCCCGCCCGUCUCACUUAAUGUUUUCUGCGUGUCGGGGAGCGGGAGUGGUGGGGAUGGUGAGGCUAGGUAGCGAACUGGUUUGGUGGAGACAGGUUGUUGUUGUUUUUUUUUUUUUUAAGAAGUCAGACAGCUCCUUUAAUUAGUCGUGCGCUAGCCCUGCGCCCUGGUCCCCCGCGGCUUUGCGCCGUGACUCGCGCGGCGCCGUCCCACCAGCCGGGCGUCACAGACCUGGAGGAGACUCAGGGCUUGCGCAGAGGUUAAUACCUUUUUGAAUUUUUUAAGCUUUAGAAUAUCAUUUUUGCCGUCUUCGCGGGCAUGGCAUACUUGGAUAGAUGGAUCUCAUUUUCCCAAGGGACUUCCAAGGACCAUUUUAAGAGAAGCGUGUAGAGAAGGCGGCAAUGCUAAUAAUUUUUUUUCCUCCUUGUUUUCUUUUGAGCUGAGGGAACUCCAAGCACUGAGUUUUCUUGUGUUUUCCAGCCCGAACUUUUUUGAAAAUUACUUUUCCUUUUACAUGCAUUGUUGACUUUGAUCCUUUUGAAGAAUGAGGAUGAACUCUGUUUAAAAAAAAAAGAGAUGCUUUUGAAUACGUAACGCCCCAAAAUGUGGUUCUCGGAUAGUUUCUCUAGAUGCUUUAUGAUUUUGAAGUUCAGGGUCUCUAAGCGGUGUUCAGUGAAACAAUGAGAAAUAUGUCGCUACGUUAAAGAUAAAGCAGAAGGUGAUAUUUCCGGACUGUGCUCAAUCGUAGCAGUAGAGUCUCGGAUUUGUUUUUGCUGGGGGUGGCGGUAGUGUUUGGGCAGAAUGUGCCUUGGUUCUAUUAAAGAACCAGCUGAUAGAAGCUAUUUCAAGUGAAGGGCUUCAGUCAAUACAAAACUCUGAAAGCAGUGACAUCAUUUUCUGAUCUGAAUGUGUCUUUUAGUCCAUAGUAAAGAAAAAGGGUAGUCUCUAUACAAUAUUUGAAAAUAAAAAGAUUGUGCUUCCUAGUAUAAUUAUUACCAACUACAUUUCACUGUAUUUUCAUAUCUUCUGACUAGUUUGAUCUCCUCUGUGGUCUGUCAGAACCAUAUUCUACAGAGAAAAAUAUACAAAUGCUCAUUCCUUACAUGAUUCUAGUGCUCCUGGAAUUAUUUGAAAAGAUUUCAAAAUUUCAUAAGAAGAAUCUCUUUAAAACUGUCUCAGGGUAGUAUUCUUUGAAAGAAUCUUAGAAUGGUUCUUUAAAAUUUUACCUUCCUUGGCUUUUAUGAAUUGCUUUGAUUAAAGUUGGGUUAUGUUCACAUCUUACUUUCAGACUAUUUCUUCAUGAAAGAAGAAAGAAAGGAAGUAGUCUUGGCAAGAGCUAAACCAGUGCAACUAGGCCUUAUUAAGACCCAAUACCUUAUUGGAUUGGUACCUUAUUAAGAUACCAAUCUGUAAAUUGGUAUCCUCCUGGUAUGUUUAUCAAAUUGAGUUUUACAUAAACAGCUGACUUUAUGUCUUUUAAAAAUAGGUUUAAUCCAGGCUCCUACUUUUUUUUUAUGCUUUUCCUUUGAUAGAUAAGCAAAAUGAGUCUCAGUGAAAGGGUAGGUAGAUUUUUUUCCCCCUAGACAAGCUUUCUAAAAAUGGGCAAACUUAGAAAGUUAUUAGUGCCUUUUAAUUUAUUUUUUAAUACCCUUCAUUUUAAUUGGAAUGAUUCAGUAUUUACACCAAGUUAAUCCUAUUAAGCUGUUGUUUCCUGCUCAAAGGGGAUAUAUUAAGGCACAAUUAAGUUUAUUUUAGAUGGACAACUUUGUAUAUGCUCUAAGCAAGGGGGGGGGGUGGUGCCUAGAGAAAAGUCUCAUUUAUCUAGAAUAUAUAGAUACACACAUUAGUAAUGUUCAAAGACCAUUGAGGCAGUAUACUGGGGAGAAGGGUAUAACUCAGACAUGGUAUCUGAUGUUGGAGAGUUUACACAUUAUAAGGAGUGAUUAGUUCUUUAUUUUUUCUCAUUUAAAAACAAACUUUAAAAAUAUUAGGGGGACAUAUAGGCGAAUAUCUUUAUGACCUUGGAGUAGAGAACAAUUUCUUAAAACAUUGAGAUGUACAAUUCAUAGAGGAAAGGAUACAUUGAAUUAUAUUAAAAUAAAUUGUAUGUAUAUGAAAAAAGACAUCAUAAAAGGUUAAAAGACAAGUGGAGACAAUAUUUCCAAGACAUGGACUUAUCAAGGAUUAAUAUUCAGAAUGUGUAAAUAACCUACAUGAAGUAUUUAAUAAUUUACAUAUGAAUAAUUUCAUAUGUGAAAGAACUGGGUAAGGAUAUACACGUGAAAUAUAGUACCACUAACAGGAAGGACACAUUGACUUAAAAAAAAAAGUGAUUUCCUUUUGGAGAAAAGGAAGGAGGGGAAUAGGAAGAAAUCCAAAAGGGGUGUUGAUUCUUGAGAUGGAUGAAACUGGAGCUGAUUAUACAGAGUGAAGUAAGCCAGAAAGAAAAAACACCAAUACAGUAUACUAACACAUAUAUAUGGAAUUUAGAAAGAUGGCAAUGACGACCCUGUAUGCAAGACAGGAAAAAAGACACAGCUGUGUAUAACGGACUUUUGGACUCAGAGGGAAA
ensembl:lncRNA